GGCCGCGGGAAUUCGAUUCAGGCCUAACACAUGCAAGUCGAGCGGUAGAGAGAAGCUUGCUUCUCUUGAGAGCGGCGGACGGGUGAGUAAUGCCUAGGAAUCUGCCUGGUAGUGGGGGAUAACGUUCGGAAACGGACGCUAAUACCGCAUACGUCCUACGGGAGAAAGCAGGGGACCUUCGGGCCUUGCGCUAUCAGAUGAGCCUAGGUCGGAUUAGCUAGUUGGUGAGGUAAUGGCUCACCAAGGCUACGAUCCGUAACUGGUCUGAGAGGA
rnacentral:rRNA from 1 species